GAUGAAGAACGUAGCGAAAUGCGAUAACUAGUGUGAAUUGCAGAAUUCCGUGAAUCAUCGAGUCUUUGAACGCACAUUGCGCCCCCUGGUAUUCCGGGGGGCAUGCCUGUCCGAGCGUCAUUGCUGCCCAUCAAGCACGGCUUGUGUGUUGGGUCGUCGUCCCCUCUCCGGGGGGGACGGGCCCCAAAGGCAGCGGCGGCACCGCGUCCGAUCCUCGAGCGUAUGGGGCUUUGUCACCCGCUCUGUAGGCCCGGCCGGCGCUUGCCGAACGCAAAUCAAUCUUUUCAGGUUGACCUCGGAUCAGGUAGGGAUACCCGCUGAACUUAAGCAUAUCAAUAAGCGGAGGA
rnacentral:misc_RNA from 1 species